rnacentral:rRNA from 1 species
UACGGGGGGGGCAAGCGUUGUUCGGAAUUACUGGGCGUAAAGGGCUCGUAGGCGGCCAACUAAGUCAGACGUGAAAUCCCUCGGCUUAACCGGGGAACUGCGUCUGAUACUGGAUGGCUUGAGGUUGGGAGAGGGAUGCGGAAUUCCAGGUGUAGCGGAUGAAAUGCGUAGAUAUCUGGAGGAACACGGUGGCGAAGGCGGCAUCCUGGACCAAUUCUGACGCUGAGUGAGCGAAAGCCAGGGGAGCAAACGGGAUU